GUAAUUGUGGCUGAGUGGUUAAGGUGAUGGGCUAGAAAUCCAUUGGGGUUUCUAUGCACAGGUUCAAAUCCUGUCAAUUACG